rnacentral:rRNA from 1 species
UACGGAGGAUGCGAGCGUUAUCCGGAUUUAUUGGGUUUAAAGGGUGCGUAGGCGGACUGUCAAGUCAGCGGUAAAAUUGAGAGGCUCAACCUCUUCCCGCCGUUGAAACUGGUGGUCUUGAGUGGAUGAGAAGUACGCGGAAUGCGUGGUGUAGCGGUGAAAUGCAUAGAUAUCACGCAGAACCCCGAUUGCGAAGGCAGCAUACCGGCGCCCUACUGACGCUGAGGCACGAAAGUGCGGGGAUCAAACAGG